rnacentral:rRNA from 1 species
AAAAGAAAUUCGGUGCAGGAUGAGUCUGCGUCUGAUUAGCUAGUUGGAGGGGUAAGAGCCCACCAAGGCAACGAUCAGUAGCCGGCCUGAGAGGGCGACCGGCCACAUUGGGACUGAGACACGGCCCAAACUCCUACGGGAGGCAGCAGUGGGGAAUAUUGCACAAUGGGGGAAACCCUAAUGCAGCGACGCCGCGUGAGCGAGGAAGUAUUUCGGUAUGUAAAGCUCUAUCAGCAGGGACGAAAAAAGACGGUACCUGACUAAGAAGCCCCGGCUAACUACGUGCCAGCAGCCGCGGUAAUACGUAGGGGGCAAGCGUUAUCCGGAUUUACUGGGUGUAAAGGGAGCGUAGACGGCAAGGCAAGCCAGAAGUGAAAGGGCAGGGCUCAACCCUGUACAUGCUUUUGGAACUGUGGUGCUAGAGUGCAGGAGAGGUAAGUGGAAUUCCUAGUGUAGCGGUGAAAUGCGUAGAUAUUAGGAGGAACACCAGUGGCGAAGGCGGCUUACUGGACUGUAACUGACGUUGAGGCUCGAAAGCGUGGGGAGCAAACAGGAUUAGAUACCCUGGUAGUCCACGCUGUAAACGAUGAAUACUAGGUGUUGGGGGCUGAAGCCUUCG